UACGAAGGGGGCUAGCGUUGCUCGGAAUCACUGGGCGUAAAGGGUGCGUAGGUGGCUUUUUAAGUCAGGGGUGAAAUCCUGGAGCUCAACUCCAGAACUGCCUUUGAUACUGAAAGUCUUGAGUUCGGGAGAGGUGAGUGGAACUGCGAGCGUAGAGGUGAAAUUCGUAGAUAUUCGCAAGAACACCAGUGGCGAAGGCGGCUCACUGGCCCGAUACUGACACUGAGGCACGAAAGCGUGGGGAGCAAACAGG
rnacentral:rRNA from 1 species